UCGCCUGUUUAUCAAAAACAUAACCUUUAGCCAAACAAAUAUUAAAGGCAACGCCUGCCCAGUGAACAAUUAAACGGCCGCGGUACCCUAACCGUGCAAAGGUAGCGCAAUCACUUGUCUAUUAAUUGUAGACCCGUAUGAAAGGCAAAAUGAAGGUCUAACUGUCUCUUAUAAUAAAUCAAUUAAACUGAUCCCCCAGUCCAAAAGCUGGGAUAUUAACAUAAGACCAGAAGACCCUGUGAAGCUUUAACUAAACUAUUAAACCAUCUAAUAGAUACUUUCGGUUGGGGCGACCUUGGAAAAAAAAAGAACUUCCAAAGGCCAACAAGCCAAACACUGACCCAGCUUAAAGCUGAUAAUUGAACCAAGUUACUCCAGGGAUAACAGCGCUAUCUUCCUCAAGAGCCCAUAUCAAAAGGAAGGUUUACGACCUCGAUGUUGGAUCAGGACAUCCUAAUGGUGCAGCAGCUAUUAAAGGUUCGUUUGUUCAACGAUUAACAGUCCCACGUGAUCUGAGUUCARACCGGA
rnacentral:rRNA from 1 species